rnacentral:rRNA from 1 species
AGUUGAUCCUGCUGGAGGAUACUGCUUUUGGAGUUCGAUUAAGUCAUGCAAGUCCGAACGUAAGUUCGGCGAACGGCUCAGUAACACGUGGGUAACCUGCCCUAUGGUCUGGAAUAACCUUGGGAAACUGAGGGUAAUACCGGAUAGAGUAAUUCUACUGGAAUGUGUUUUACUUGAAAGGUAACGCCAUAGGAUGGGCCUGCGUUAGAUUAGGUUGUUGGUGAGGUAAUGGCUCACCAAGCCUGUGAUCUAUAGGGGCAAUGAAAGUUGGAGCCCUGAGAAGAGGACUGAGACAAGGCCUCUAGCCCUACGGGGUGCAGCAGACGCGAAACCUCUACAAUGAACGAAAGUUUGAUAGGGGGACUCCGAGUGCUCUUAGGAAACUAAGGGCUUUUGUUAAGUGUAGAAAGCUUGACGAAUAAGGACUGGGUAAGACCCGUGCCAGCCGCCGCGGUAAUACGGGCAGUUCUAGUGGUAUCCACGUAUAUUGGGCUUAAAGCGUCCGUAGCUGGUCCAGAAAGUUUCUAGUGAAAGCUCGCAGCUUAACUGAUGAGAGGUGCUAGAAAAACUUUUGGACUUGGAGGCGGGAGAGGUAAGAGGUACUUUUGGGGUAGCGGUUAAAUGUGUUAAUCCUGAAGGGACCACCGGUAGCGAAGGCGUCUUACUAGAACGCGCUCGACAGUGAGGGACGAAGGCUAGGGGAGCAACCCGGAUUAGAUACCCGGUUAGUCCUAGCAGUAAAUUAUGCAGACUAGGUGUCCUGUAACCUACGUGGUUAUGGGGUGCCGAAGGGAAACCGUUAAGUCUGCCGCCUGGGGAGUACGGCCGCAAGACUGAAACUUAAAGGAAUUGGCGGGAGAGCACCACAAGGGGUGGAGGCUGCGGUUUAAUUGGAUACAACGCCGGACAUCUUACCGGAGGCGACGGCAGAAUGAAGAUCAGUCUGAAGGGCUUAUCCGACUCGUCGAGAGGUGGUGCAUGGCCAUCGUCAGCUCGUGCUGUGAAGUGUCCUGUUGAGUCAGGUAACGAGCGAGAUCCACGCCAUUAGUUGCUAAUUUUUUCAUUGCGAAAGAAUGCACUCUAAUGGGACUGCAAGUGCUAAACUUGAGGAAGGUGUGGGCGACGAUAGGUCUGUAUGCCCCGAAUCUUCCGGGCUACACGUGGCCUACAUUGGUAAGUACAACGAGAUGCAACUCCGAAAGGAGAAGCUAAUCUCUUAAAACUUAUCUAAGUCUGGAUCGAGGGUUGAAACUCACCCUCGUGAAAAUGGAAUCCCUAGUAAUCGCGAAUCACUAUUUCGCGGUGAAUAUGUCCCUGCUCUUUGCACACACCGCCUGUCAAGCCACUCAAGCGGGGUUUUGGCGAGACCAUAUCUUCAUGGUAUGGUCGAACCUAGGUUCUGUGAGAUGGGCUAAGUCAUAACAAGGUA